CACCGAAGCACAUCACAUCUUACCUGAUGCUUCCUCUGACGGGCAACGUCGGGUCCUGAAAGUGCAGUGACAUCAGUAGAAGUUUGAGGAGCUGUUCCUGCCGCGCAGCAGGAAGUGGGCGGGAUGAGCUGUGAGAACACACACGUCUGAAAGCCACAUCACAGAGACUCUACUCAAUCUUCAACAUUCUUCCUGGGUUUGCAGCAGGUCAUGAGCUAAAGCCACUUAAAGCCCAGCACAACAGGUGCAGUGACCAGUCAGUAUUUCUUCUUUUCAUCAUCAUUCAGCUGUUUAUCUUGCAGUGACAAAUUAAUUUCUGAUGUAUAAAUGUAUAGUCUCUUUUUCUCAAUCACACAUUGGCAGAUUUUUCUGAAACAGUCUUAUCAUUCUCUAAACUGUGAAUGCAAACGUCACAACUUCAGAACUUUAUUGCAUGUCUGCAAAAGUUACUUACCAAAAACAUUUCAUUCAUGCUUCAAAAUCUAGUUAUCUUGUUAAUAAUUUGGCCAAGGCCACACAAAUAUAAAGUAGUCACUGUGUGAGCCACACUGGUCAAAAUGUUUAGUUGUUUUCACUAUGACAAAUGGUUUUCAACCGUGGAAAUGAAGCUUUCACGAAAAACUAAAUCUGAUAUUUGUUGAAAAGAGUCAAUUGCACAUAAAAAAGUAUAUCAACAUGUAUUUGUGCAUAUUGUAUUUAUACAGUACAUUUAUUUUUGUACAAAUGUAUUACAAAUGUUAGUGAUCUAUAUACACAUAUGCUCCCAAACAUGGUUGAUUGAAAUUGCAUUGCAAUUAGAGGUCAUUUCCCAAUUUAGCAGACAUUAUAAACAAUGCCAGAUAUUUAUGGAAUAUACAUACUGACGUUCCCCAUUAAAAUGGACUGUUUUGAAUGUGAGGGCUUACGUGAUGAAAAAUGAUUGAGAAGUUGUGAAGAGUUUGACAGUUUAAGUCAACUCAUCAGUUUUGAUCAACAAGCCAUAUGCAAACAGCCGUUGUGCAAACUGCAGACAAUUGUACUUACUGUACUUACUUACAUG